UACGGAGGGUGCGAGCGUUGUCCGGAUUUAUUGGGUUUAAAGGGUGCGUAGGUGGCCGUGCGCGUGGGGAGUGAAGUCGCCUGGCUUAACUGGGCGGGGGCUUUCCAGACGGCGCGGCUUGAGCCACAGAGGGGGGCGUGGAAUUCCGGGUGGAGCGGUGAAAUGCGUAGAGAUCCGGAGGAACACCGACGGCGUAGGCAGCGCCCUGGCUGUGAAUAAAGCUGACACUGAGGCACGAAAGCUGGGGGGAGCAAACAGG
rnacentral:rRNA from 1 species